rnacentral:rRNA from 1 species
GCCUAAUACAUGCAAGUCGAGCGAGCAGAACUAACRGAUCUACUUCGGUAGUGACGUUUCGGAAGCGAGCGGCGGAUGGGUGAGUAACACGUGGGUAACCUGCCCUUAAGUCUGGGAUACCACUUGGAAACAGGUGCUAAUACCGGAUAACAACAAGUGCUGCAUGGCACUUGCUUGAAAGGCGGCGCAAGCUGUCGCUAAAGGAUGGACCCGCGGUGCAUUAGCUAGUUGGUAAGGUAACGGCUUACCAAGGCAACGAUGCAUAGCCGAGUUGAGAGACUGAUCGGCCACAUUGGGACUGAGACACGGCCCAAACUCCUACGGGAGGCAGCAGUAGGGAAUCUUCCACAAUGGGCGAAAGCCUGAUGGAGCAACGCCGCGUGAGUGAAGAAGGUUUUCGGAUCGUAAAGCUCUGUUGUUGGUGAAGAAGGAUAGAGGUA